AUCCGGAGGGUGCAAACGUUGUUCGGAAUCACUGGGCGUAAAGGGCGCGCAGGCGGUUUGAUUAGUCAGAUGUGAAAGCCCACGGCUUAACCGUGGAAGUGCAUUUGAAACUGUCAGACUUGAGUACCAGAGGGGGUAGUGGAAUUCCCGGUGUAGAGGUGAAAUUCGUAGAUAUCGGGAGGAAUACCGGUGGCGAAGGCGACUACCUGGCUGGAUACUGACGCUGAGGCGCGAAAGCGUGUGGAGCAAACAGGAUUAGAAACCCCGGUAGUCC
rnacentral:rRNA from 1 species